rnacentral:rRNA from 1 species
UACGAAGGGGGCUAGCGUUGUUCGGAAUUACUGGGCGUAAAGCGCGCGUAGGCGGUGAUCUUUGUCAGAGGUGAAAGCCUGGGGCUCAACUCCAGAAUUGCCUUUGAAACGGGAUUGCUUGAGUCCGAGAGAGGAUGGCGGAAUUCCUAGUGUAGAGGUGAAAUUCGUAGAUAUUAGGAAGAACACCAGUGGCGAAGGCGGCCCACUGGAUCGGUACUGACGCUGAGGUGCGAAAGCGUGGGGAGCAAACAGG